rnacentral:ncRNA from 1 species
UUCUUCAGGGUUGGGUGUGAUUCCCUACUGGCGGUGAAGGCGUAAGCUACAGUCCGCGACCCGCAGAUCGUCUAUCUGCGGCUGAUCCGGUGCAAAUCCGGGACCAACAGUACAGUCUGGAUGAAAGAAGAA